AUUGUAACGGGUUCUGGUAACUCCACCACCGCUGGCGUUAUAUUUUCACAUCCGCCUGCAGUGGAAGAGUUCCCUUCACUCGUUGCAUG
rnacentral:pre_miRNA from 1 species